GGGUGAUCUGCCCUGCACUCUGGGAUAAGCCUGGGAAACUGGGUCUAAUACUGGAUAUGACCUCAGCAUGCAUGUGCUGGGGUGGAAAGCUUUUGUGGUGCAGGAUGGGCCCGCGGCCUAUCAGCUUGUUGGUGGGGUAAUGGCCUACCAAGGCGACGACGGGUAGCCGACCUGAGAGGGUGACCGGCCACACUGGGACUGAGACACGGCCCAGACUCCUACGGGAGGCAGCAGUGGGGAAUAUUGCACAAUGGGCGGAAGCCUGAUGCAGCGACGCCGCGUGAGGGAUGAAGGCCUUCGGGUUGUAAACCUCUUUCAGCAGGGACGAAGCGUGAGUGACGGUACCUGCAGAAGAAGCACCGGCUAACUACGUGCCAGCAGCCGCGGUAAUACGUAGGGUGCGAGCGUUGUCCGGAAUUACUGGGCGUAAAGAGUUCGUAGGCGGUUUGUCGCGUCGUUUGUGAAAACCCGGGGCUCAACUUCGGGCUUGCAGGCGAUACGGGCAGACUUGAGUGUUUCAGGGGAGACUGGAAUUCCUGGU
rnacentral:rRNA from 1 species